AUUGAACGCUGGCGGCAGGCCUAACACAUGCAAGUCGAGGGACCGGGGCACGGGAGAGUAACACGUAUACAACCGGCCCGUUACUCGGGGGUAACCUUUCGAAAGAAAGAUUAAUACCCGAUGUACAGGAUGGGGAUGCGUUCCAUUAGGUUGUUGGGGAGGUAACGGCUAACCAAGCCUUCGAUGGAAAGGGGUUCUGAGAGGAAGGUCCCCCACAUUGGAACUGAGACACGGUCCAAACUCCUACGGGAGGCAGCAGUGAGGAAUAUUGGUCAAUGGGCGUUAGCCUGAACCAGCCAAGUAGCGUGAAGGAUGAAGGCUUAUGGGUCGUAAACUUCUUUUAUAGAAGAAUAUGUAUUAUAUGAAUAAGGAUCGGCUAACUCCGUGCCAGCAGCCGCGGUAAUAC
rnacentral:rRNA from 1 species